rnacentral:rRNA from 1 species
AGAGUUUGAUCCUGGCUCAGGACGAACGCUGGCGGCGUGCUUAACACAUGCAAGUCGAACGGAAAGGCCCCCACCUUGGUGGGGGUGCUCGAGUGGCGAACGGGUGAGUAACACGUGGGUGAUCUGCCCUGUACUUCGGGAUAAGCUUGGGAAACUGGGUCUAAUACCGGAUAGGACCAUGGUUUAGUGUCUCAUGGUGGAAAGAUUAUUGUUUUGGUGCAGGAUGAGCUCGCGGCCUAUCAGCUUGUUGGUGGGGUAAUGGCCUACCAAGGCGUCGACGGGUAGCCGGCCUGAGAGGGUGGACGGCCACAUUGGGACUGAGAUACGGCCCAGACUCCUACGGGAGGCAGCAGUGGGGAAUAUUGCACAAUGGGCGCAAGCCUGAUGCAGCGACGCCGCGUGGGGGAUGACGGCCUUCGGGUUGUAAACUCCUUUCGUUAGGGACGAAGCCACACCUUUUUUUGGGUGUGGUGACGGUACCUUUGUUAAGAAGCACCGGCUAACUACGUGCCAGCAGCCGCGGUAAUACGUAGGGUGCGAGCGUUGUCCGGAAUUACUGGGCGUAAAGAGCUCGUAGGUGGUUUGUUGCGUCGUCUGUGAAAUUCCGGGGCUUAACUUCGGGGUGGCAGGCGAUACGGGCAUAACUAGAGUGCUGUAGGGGAGACUGGAAUUCCUGGUGUAGCGGUGGAAUGCGCAGAUAUCAGGAGGAACACCGAUGGCGAAGGCAGGUCUCUGGGCAGUAACUGACGCUGAGGAGCGAAAGCAUGGGGAGCGAACAGGAUUAGAUACCCUGGUAGUCCAUGCUGUAAACGGUGGGCGUUAGGUGUGGGGACCGGUUUGGUUUCUGUGCCGUAGCUAACGCAUUAAGCGCCCCGCCUGGGGAGUACGGCCGCAAGGCUAAAACUCAAAGGAAUUGACGGGGGCCCGCACAAGCGGCGGAGCAUGCGGAUUAAUUCGAUGCAACGCGAAGAACCUUACCAAGGCUUGACAUGUGCCGGUCGGCUCCGGAGACGGGGUUUCCUCCUUGUGGGGCCGGUUCACAGGUGGUGCAUGGUUGUCGUCAGCUCGUGUCGUGAGAUGUUGGGUUAAGUC